GGUUCCAUAGUGUGGUGGUUAUCACAUCUGCUUUACACACAGAAGGUCCUGGGUUCAAGCCCCAGUGGAACCA
rnacentral:ncRNA from 8 species